CGAGCGGUAACAGAAAGUAGCUUGCUACUUUGCUGACGAGCGGCGGACGGGUGAGUAAUGCUUGGGAACAUGCCUUGAGGUGGGGGACAACAGUUGGAAACGACUGCUAAUACCGCAUAAUGUCUACGGACCAAAGGGGGCUUCGGCUCUCGCCUUUAGAUUGGCCCAAGUGGGAUUAGCUAGUUGGUGAGGUAAUGGCUCACCAAGGCAACGAUCCCUAGCUGGUUUGAGAGGAUGAUCAGCCACACUGGAACUGAGACACGGUCCAGACUCCUACGGGAGGCAGCAGUGGGGAAUAUUGCACAAUGGGCGAAAGCCUGAUGCAGCCAUGCCGCGUGUGUGAAGAAGGCCUUCGGGUUGUAAAGCACUUUCAGUCAGGAGGAAAGGGUGUGAGUUAAUACCUCAUAUCUGUGACGUUACUGACAGAAGAAGCACCGGCUAACUCCGUGCCAGCAGCCGCGGUAAUACGGAGGGUGCGAGCGUUAAUCGGAAUUACUGGGCGUAAAGCGUACGCAGGCGGUUUGUUAAGCGAGAUGUGAAAGCCCCGGGCUCAACCUGGGAACUGCAUUUCGAACUGGCAAACUAGAGUGUGAUAGAGGGUGGUAGAAUUUCAGGUGUAGCGGUGAAAUGCGUAGAGAUCUGAAGGAAUACCGAUGGCGAAGGCAGCCACCUGGGUCAACACUGACGCUCAUGUACGAAAGCGUGGGGAGCAAACGGGAUUAGAUACCCCGGUAGUCCACGCCGUAAACGAUGUCUACUAGAAGCUCGGAACCUCGGUUCUGUUUUUCAAAGCUAACGCAUUAAGUAGACCGCCUGGGGAGUACGGCCGCAAGGUUAAAACUCAAAUGAAUUGACGGGGGCCCGCACAAGCGGUGGAGCAUGUGGUUUAAUUCGAUGCAACGCGAAGAACCUUACCUACACUUGACAUACAGAGAACUUUCUAGAGAUAGAUUGGUGCCCUUCGGGAACUCUGAU
rnacentral:rRNA from 1 species